UUUAAAUACAAUCAUGAGUUUCCGUGUCCAACUUUAAUCUGUCUUAUUUAAAACUUUUUUAUAUGAUUGAUAUUUUUAUUGAUACUAGAUGAUAAAACAUGAAUAUUACUUUGUGUGACUUAUGUUUUUUAUUUUUUUUAAAAAAAUAAAUAAGAUAAACUAUUAAAGUUGAACACGAAAAUUUAUGGUUAAACUUAAA
rfam:Oryza glumipatula chromosome 1, whole genome shotgun sequence.